GCGGCGGCCGCCCCUGGCUGCGCUUGGUCGCCUCUCGAUGCAGGUGCCAGGAGCAUCCGGGUGGGGAAAGCAGCGUCUCCAGGAGCUCCUGCUGCAGGAGCUGCUGUGGGUGAAGCUUAAGAUGCUUGAAAAACGUGAAACAGCCAGAGAACAACAUCAAGGUGAUUGAGCCAGAAGGUGCUUCCUGCGGCAGGGAAGAGACAGCCAAGCAUUUCUGGGUGAGGAAGGGUCCCCUCUGAGUUGUCCUCAGCAGACCAGAUUGCUGAUAUGUACCGCAGGGUCCGUACGCGUAUCCAAAAUCACGGUAUGGCCAUGGGGAAGGGUUGUGUGCGUGCAAGGCUGCACAUCUGGGAAGCUUCAUAUCGCAAGAGCUGUAAGACACCGCUGUGUUCUCUUAGGUGGAGGAUGGUCAAGUGACCAGCGCUGCAGAAGAGGAAGGGAGUCAUGUCCCUCCUCCUCCUCGAGUAGCACACAAAAAACCCCCCGUGGUCAAAUCAUAGCUGUGUAUUUUGGAGACGGACAGUUUAGUAGUAUCCGUUCACAGCUGUGCAAGUUAAAUUAGCGCCGAAGGAAAGCCAAGUACUUUCACAGGGUGCCUCGUCGUAGGCGUCUCGUGCUGCUCGAGAGAUGCCCCAGCCCAGGUUUGCAGCCGGUGGCGGAGCCCCCCUGAGGAGAAGGGGCCAGCGUUUUGAUCUGGGCGUUUUGGGCCUUUUUUUGGGGUGAAUAGAAGGGUGUCUGUGUGUGUGUCUUGGGGGGUGAUGGU